GAUGAACGCUGGCGGCGUGCCUAAUACAUGCAAGUCGAGCGAACAGAUGAGGAGCUUGCUCCUCUGACGUUAGCGGCGGACGGGUGAGUAACACGUGGAUAACCUACCUAUAAGACUGGGAUAACUUCGGGAAACCGGAGCUAAUACCGGAUAAUAUAUUGAACCGCAUGGUUCAAUAGUGAAAGACGGUUUUGCUGUCACUUAUAGAUGGAUCCGCGCCGCAUUAGCUAGUUGGUAAGGUAACGGCUUACCAAGGCAACGAUGCGUAGCCGACCUGAGAGGGAGAUCGGCCACACGGGAUAGGAGAAACGGUCCAGCCCCCACGGGGGGGCAAGAGAGGGAGAGCUCCCAAGAGGGGCAAAAGCAAGAGGGAGCAAGCCCGAGUGGGUGUAGAGGGAUUUGGGAUCAGAAAACCAUGUUAUUAGGAAAGAAAAAAUGUGUAAGAAAAUUUGCCCGUUUUACGGGUGCCUAAAAAAAAAGCACCGGAAAACCUCGA
rnacentral:rRNA from 1 species